UCCGCUGUAGCACAUC
rnacentral:misc_RNA from 1 species